rnacentral:rRNA from 1 species
UACGGAGGAUCCGAGCGUUAUCCGGAUUUAUUGGGUUUAAAGGGUGCGUAAGCGGUUUGAUAAGUUAGAGGUGAAAUGUCGGGGCUCAACCCCGAAACUGCCUCUAAUACUGUUGGACUAGAGAAUAGUUGCGGUAGGCGGAAUGUAUGGUGUAGCGGUGAAAUGCUUAGAGAUCAUACAGAACACCGAUUGCGAAGGCAGCUUACCAAACUAUAUCUGACGUUGAGGCACGAAAGCGUGGGUAGCAAACAGG